rnacentral:rRNA from 1 species
UACGUAGGGUGCGAGCGUUAAUCGGAAUUACUGGGCGUAAAGCGUGCGCAGGCGGCGCGUUAAGACAGGUGUGAAAGCCCCGAGCUUAACUUGGGAAUUGCGCUUGUGACUGGCGUGCUGGAGUGUGGCAGAGGGAGGUGGAAUUCCACGUGUAGCAGUGAAAUGCGUAGAUAUCUGGAGGAACACCGGUGGCGAAGGCGGCAUCCUGGACCAACACUGACGCUGAGGAGCGAAAGCCAGGGGAGCAAAGC